UACGUAGGGGGCAAGCGUUGUCCGGAUUUAUUGGGCGUAAAGAGCGUGUAGGCGGCUAGAUAGGUCCGUUGUGAAAACUCGAGCUCAACCUCGAGACGCCGGUGGAAACCAUCUAGCUAGAGUCCGGAAAGAGGAGAGUGGAAUUCCUGGUGUAGCGGUGAAAUGCGCAGAUAUCAGGAGGAACACCAAUGGCGAAGGCAGCU
rnacentral:rRNA from 1 species